AGCGUUGUUCGGAAUUACUGGGCGUAAAGGGCGCGUAGGCGGCCUUCUAAGUCGAACGUGAAAUCCCCGGGCUCAACCCGGGAACUGCGUCCGAUACUGGAAGGCUUGAAUCCGGGAGAGGGAUGCGGAAUUCCAGGUGUAGCGGUGAAAUGCGUAGAUAUCUGGAGGAACACCGGUGGCGAAGGCGGCAUCCUGGACCGGUAUUGACGCUGAGGCGCGAAAGCCAGGGGAGCAAGCGGG
rnacentral:rRNA from 1 species